rnacentral:rRNA from 1 species
AUGAUUCCCCUCCCGGCUGCGCGCAGGCGUGGCCUGGCCACUAUCGCCUCCCUCGUUGCCUGGUCCCUGUGGCGACACCGGAACACGAUCAUCUUCGACAAGGUUACCCCUUCUUCCUCUUCCCUGAUCGCCGCCAUCAAGGACGAAACUCGUUCAUGGGCUGCUGCUGGAGCUCGAGGGCUAGCCUCGAACCGUUUUGUAACCUGA